CACGUAGGGCGCAAGCGUUGUCCGGAAUUAUUGGGCGUAAAGAGCUCGUAGGCGGUCUGUUACGUCUGCUGUGAAAACCCAGGGCUUAACCCUGGGCUUGCAGUGGAUACGGGCAGACUAGAGGCAGGUAGGGGAGAAUGGAAUUCCUGGUGUAGCGGUGAAAUGCGCAGAUAUCAGGAGGAACACCGGUGGCGAAGGCGGGUCUCUGGGCCGAUACUGACGCUGAGGAGCGAAAGCGUGGGGAGCGAACAGG
rnacentral:rRNA from 1 species